rnacentral:rRNA from 1 species
AGGUUUGAUCAUGGCUCAGAACGUACGCUGGCGGCACGCCUAAUACAUGCAAGUCGAACGAAGUAGCAAUACUUAGUGGCAGACGGGUGAGUAACAUGUAGGUAUCUUCCCAUUGGUGAGGAAUAACACGAGGAAACUUGUGCUAAUACCUCAUAAGUCUUUACGGAGAAAGCUUUAUGCGCCGAUGGAUGAGCCUGCACUUGAUUAGUUUGUUGGUAGGGUAAUGGCCUACCAAGACAAUGAUCAAUAGCUGAUUUGAGAGGAUGAUCAGCCACAUUGGGACUGAGACACGGCCCAAACUCCUACGGGAGGCAGCAGUAGGGAAUCUUGCACAAUGGGGGAAACCCUGAUGCAGCGAUGCCGCGUGAGUGAAGAAGGCCUUUGGGUUGUAAAGCUCUUUCGUCGGGGAAGAAAAUGACUGUACCCGAAUAAGAAGGUCCGGCUAACUUCGUGCCAGCAGCCGCGGUAAUACGAAGGGACCUAGCGUAGUUCGGAAUUACUGGGCUUAAAGAGUUCGUAGGUGGUUAAAAAAGUUGGUGGUGAAAUCCCAGAGCUUAACUCUGGAACUGCCAUCAAAACUUUUUAGCUAGAGUAUGAUAGAGGAAAGCAGAAUUUCUAGUGUAGAGGUGAAAUUCGUAGAUAUUAGAAAGAAUACCGAUUGCGAAGGCAGCUUUCUGGAUCAUUACUGACACUGAGGAACGAAAGCAUGGGUAGCGAAGAGGAUUAGAUACCCUCGUAGUCCAUGCCGUAAACGAUGUGUGUUAGACGUUGGAAAUUUAUUUUCUGUGUCGCAGCGAAAGCAAUAAACACACCGCCUGGGGAGUACGACCGCAAGGUUAAAACUCAAAUGAAUUGACGGGGACCCGCACAAGUAGUGGAGCAUGUGGUUUAAUUCGAAGAUACGCGCAGAACCUUACCAACACUUGACAUGUUCGUCGCGACUUUAAGAGAUUAAAGUUUUCGGUUCGGCCGGACGAAACACAGGUGCUGCAUGGCUGUCGUCAGCUCGUGUCGUGAGAUGUUGGGUUAAGUCCCGCAACGAGCGCAACCCUCACUUUUAGUUGCCAUCAUUUAGUUGGGCACUCUGAAAGAACUGCCAGUGAUAAGCUGGAGGAAGGUGGGGAUGACGUCAAGUCCUCAUGGCCCUUACGUGUUGGGCUACACACGUGCUACAAUGGCAUUUACAAUAGGAAGCAAAACGGCGACGUUAAGCAAAUCCUAAAAAAAUGCCUCAGUUCGGAUUGUACUCUGCAACUCGAGUACAUGAAGCUGGAAUUACUAGUAAUCGCGGAUCAGCGCGCCGCGGUGAAUACGUUCCCGGGUCUUGUACACACCGCCCGUCACACCAUGGGAGUUGGUUCUACCUUAAGGCAAAGUUUAAUACCUUUGACCACGGUAUAGUCAGCGACUGGGGUGAAGUCGUAACAAGGUAGCCGUA